AUCCAGCUAACGAGUCCCAAAGAGGACGAAAUGCGCGUCCUGGAU
rfam:Schistosoma mansoni strain Puerto Rico chromosome 2, complete genome